rnacentral:rRNA from 1 species
UACGGAGGGUGCAAACGUUGCUCGGAAUCAUUGGGCGUAAAGCGCACGUAGGCGGUCCGGUAAGUCGGAUGUGAAAUCCCUCGGCUCAACCGAGGAAGGGCAUCCGAAACUGCCGGGCUUGAGUACGGAAGAGGGUCUCGGAAUUCCCGGUGUAGAGGUGAAAUUCGUAGAUAUCGGGAGGAACACCAGUGGCGAAGGCGGAGACCUGGGCCGAUACUGACGCUGAGGUGCGAAAGCGUGGGGAGCAAACAGG